AAUAGAUACCCCGGUAGUCCUAGCCGUAAACGAUGGGCACUAGUCUGUGGGGACUCUCACAUCCUCUCGGACGUAGCGAAAGUGUUAAGUGCUCCGCCUGGGGAGUAUGGUCGCAAGGCCGAAACUCAAAGGAAUUGACGGGGGCUCACACAAGCGGUGGAGGAUGUGGCUUAAUUCGAGGCUACGCGAAGAACCUUAUCCUAGUCUUGACAUGCUUAAGAACCCGACUGAAAGGUUGGGGUGCCCUUCGGGAAGCUUUUGCACAGGUGCUGCAUGGCUGUCGUCAGCUCGUGUCGUGAGAUGUCGGGUUAAGUCCCUUAACGAGCGAAACCCUUAUCUCUAGUUGCCAGCGCGUAAUGGCGGGGACUCUAGAGAGACUGCCGGUGUUAAACCGGAGGAAGGUGGGGAUGACGUCAAGUCCUCAUGGCCUUUAUGAUUAGGGCUGCACACGUCCUACAAUGCAACAUACAAAGGGAAGCGAACUCGUGAGAGAUAGCAAAUCCCAAAAGGUGUUGCUCAGUUCGGAUUGCAGG
rnacentral:rRNA from 1 species